GUUAGGAAUAUUGGACAAUGGGCGCAAGCCUGAUCCAGCCAUGCCGCGUGAACGAUGAAGGCCUUCGGGUUGUAAAGUUCUUUAGCCGAUGAUUAUAAUGACUGUAGUCGGAAAAUAAGCCCCAGCUAACUUCGUGCCAGCAGCCGCGGUAAUACGAAGGGGGCGAGCGUUAUUCGGAAUCACUGGGCGUAAAGCGUGCGUAGGCGGUCUCGUAAGUUAGGAGUGAAAGCCCAGGGCUCAACCUUGGAAUUGCUCUUAAAACUGCAAGGCUAGAAUCUCGGAGAGGAUAGCGGAAUUUCCAGUGUAGCAGUGAAAUGCGUAGAUAUUGGAAGGAACACCAGUGGCGUAAGCGGCUAUCUGGACGAGUAUUGACGCUGAGGCACGAAAGCGUGGGGAUCAAACAGGAUUAGAAACCCUUGUAGUCC
rnacentral:rRNA from 1 species